UCCGCAGGCGGUCUUGUGUGUCGGGUGUGAAAGCUCACGGCUCAACCGUGGAAUUGCAUUCGAAACUGCAAGACUAGAGUACUGGAGGGGAGAAGGGAACACUUGGUGUAGCGGUGAAAUGCGUAGAUAUCAAGUGGAACACCGGCGGCGAAGGCGCUUCUCUGGACAGAUACUGACGCUCAUGGACGAAAGUUAGGGUAGCGAAAG
rnacentral:rRNA from 1 species